rnacentral:rRNA from 1 species
ACUCAAAUGAAUAGACGGGGGCCCGCACAAGCGGUGGAGCAUGUUGUUUAAUACGUCACUAACCGUAGAACCUUACCAGGGCUUGACAUCGGACGCCAACUCAUGAAAGUGAGCCUUCCCCGCAAGGGGACGUCCAGACAGGUGUUGCAUGGCUGUCGUCAGCUCGUGUCGUGAGAUGUUGGGUUAAGUCCCGCAACGAGCGCAACCCUCACCCCAUGUUGCCAGCGGUUCGAGCCGGGAACUCUUGGGGAACUGCCCGGGUAACCGGGAGGAAGGUGGGGAUGACGUCAAGUCAGCAUGGCCCUUACGUCCUGGGCUACAAACAUGCUACAAUGGGCGGCAGACAAAAGGAACCGAGGUCGCGAGACGGAGGCAACCCCCUAAAUCCGCCCCCAGUUCAGAUCGCAGGCUGCAACUCGCCUGCGUGAAGUCGGAAUCGCUAGUAACCGCCGAUCAGAUAAGCGGCGGUGAAUACGUUCCCGGGCCUUGUACACACCGCCCGU